rfam:Coniochaeta ligniaria NRRL 30616 unplaced genomic scaffold CONLIGscaffold_4, whole genome shotgun sequence.
GGGGAUGUAGCUCAUCUGGUAGAGCGCGUGCUUAGCAUGUCUGACGGCUCAUGCACGAGGUACUGGGUUCGACUCCCAGCUUCUCCA